CUUUUUUUUUGGGUGAUUCUACCGUUCUUCUCUUACCUUUAGACUUCCACAUCCUCCUUUGCUCUUCUCUCCAAAUCCGUUUGAACUCAUACUUUCACCACUAACUGCUCUAAUCAAACUUUGCUUGAGCUCAUUCAAUGGAUUAUUUUCAUCUUUCUUUCAGUUAUUCUGGCGACAACUCUACAAAGUUAAUAAUCAAAUGUUUACCCCUAUUGUUUCAGAUCUCCUCCAUAACGUACCUUCUUAUCUCUCUCUCACGGGAAAACGAAGAUGAUGGAGUCCAAGUCUCCGGUCUGCAACACUUGCGGAGAGGAGACUGGUGUGGAAUCAAACGGAGAGUUCUUCGUUGCUUGCCAUGAGUGUAGUUUCCCGAUCUGCAAAGCUUGUGUUGAGUAUGAAUUCAAAGAAGGUUGAAGAAUCUGCUUGCGUUGCGGCAAGCCUUACGAUGAGAAUGUGCUUGAUGAUGUUGAGACAAAGACAUCUAAACACCAAUCCACUGUUGCAACACACAUCAGUAACACUCCUCAGGAUUCUGGAAUUCAUGCUAGACAUAUAAGUACAGUCUCCACAAUAGACAGUGUUAAGAACUAAUAUCUAAAAGUUUAAAAUUUUGAUGAGUUUAAUUAGUUUUAAAAGCUAACUAAUGGAAUUUUGAUUUGUUGUUGAAGAACUCAACGAUGAAUACAGAAAUCCUAUAUGGAAGAACAGAGUUGAUAGCUGGAAAGACAAGAAGAGUAAGAAGAAGAAGAAACAUGCAAAGGCAACAAAAGCUGAAGACCCUGAUGCUCAGGUUCCUCCCCAACAGCACAUGGAAGAUAUAUCACUGAACGCAGAGACUGCUUCUGCUACAGAUGUGCUUUCUGUUGUGAUUCCUAUCCCAAGGACAAAAAUUACUUCAUACAGAAUCGUUAUCAUCAUGCGUUUAACCAUCUUGGCUUUGUUUUUCCACUACCGUAUCACCCAUCCAGUGGACAGUGCUUACGUUCUAUUGCUAACAUCUGUGAUAUGUGAGAUCUGGUUUGCUUUCUCGUGGGUGUUGGAUCAGUUUCCUAAAUGGUCUCCUAUCAACAGAACGUAGAGCCAUGAAAAGAUUAUGAAGAGUUCAAGAUCAGAAUGUGGUGCAUUGGCUGCGUCGAUGAAGAAAUCAGUAAAACAAGAUUUUUUAGAAGACUAUGGAAAGUCCGGUAAAGCUGUUGGAACAUCCACACCUGACAGGUGUUAUAUAUUUGGAGAGGAGGCAGGCAUUUUUGGCUUUGACCAAAGCUUCUCCCGGCAUAUCAGCCAAUGGUAGCUUAGGUACUGGUUCGUCCAAACUUUUGGUCUUAAGCACAAAAUCAUUAGACGUUCAUAGAGUCUAAUGAGAGCUCAAUGGACCUUUUAGGCAUUCUAACUUUUAAUCUUUAGUGCAUUCAAAGAUGGUGUUGUAGUUUUAGAUACACAAGCAAUUUUUUCAUGGAAAGGCUAUCAAGGCUCUUUAUUUUUUUUUCUUCUGCAUUUUAAGUGAUGACACUUUAGUCAAUACAUAUUUUUAUCGAUUGGAAAAUUGAGAAGUUGAAAGUAAGUUAAUAUGUUUUGGCACCAUUAAUUUUU